rnacentral:rRNA from 1 species
UACAGAGGGUGCGAGCGUUGUUCGGAAUUACUGGGCGUAAAGCGCGUGUAGGCUGCGGUAUAAGUCGGAUGUGAAAGCCCUUGGCUUAACUGAGGAAGUGCAUCCGAAACUGGCAGGCUAGAGUACUAAAGAGGGUCGCGGAAUUCCCGGUGUAGAGGUGAAAUUCGUAGAUAUCGGGAGGAACACCGGUGGCGAAGGCGGCGACCUGGGUAGAUACUGACGCUGAGGUGCGAAAGCGUGGGGAGCAAACAGG